CACUUGGGGGUUCCCACCGGAAGGGUGGGGCAGUGUUGGCUGGGAAAGAAUCUUCCGGAAGUCCGCGUCCUAGAAGGAUUGCUGAGGCAGUGAAUUGGAGCGGCUAUGUAGUGCUUGCAACCAGUUACCGUGUUUCUCUGAAGGAAUCACCACCAACCAGCUCUUCCAGAAUUUAUGAGGUGCUUCCCUUAUCACCAGCCAUCUCACGCACACGUAGUAAGAGAUAAGAGGGCAGCUGACGUACACGCUUGGCCUCGUGGGUGUGAACCAAGUAGCAGGUGCAGAGAGCCUCCACUGAGGGACGUCGGCUGAAGUGAUGGGAUUCGUCACCCGUCAUCAUUGCGUCAGUUCUUUACGUAGCGAUGUGUGGGCUAAACCCAGCAGCACACUCUGUAUUCUGUGCACUUAAUUACAUUUAAUGUGCCGUGGUAAA